UUCGCCCAGGCGGACUCCUCGAGCAAGAUCCUUCGCAUCCGCCACCUAAAGCCCGACAAAGGGGGACACCUCUAAUCCCAGGCAUUUGGAGCCCAGAACCAGCCGCGCCAGCCCCAAAGUCGCGGCCCGAAAGUUAUUUACCAUAACAGUUAUAGUAAUAGGGCUGCAUGCAUUGACCAUUUUUAGAACCCUACAAUGACAAGAGCCUCGGGCAUUUUGCCAUCCUAAACCUGCUUUUAACUAUCAAAUUUAUUUAAUACUAAGAAUUUUGCUGCAACCUGGUUGGUUUUGCAAAUUGUAAUUUGGCAGGAAGGUCCACUGGGAAUGGUUGGUUGAUGUGGAAAAUAAAGACAAUCAAGUGAAUCUAACUUUGUGAAAAAUAAAGAUAAUGUUUGUCUCAAAGAGAAUAAAGAAUAUGAAACCUUCCAAUGAUUCUAUGAGUCCUAUCACGAGAAUAUUUUUUUAUCACACCAUGGAACCAUUCAUUCAUGUAAAGUGAUGUUUAUAAUCCUUUGUAGAAAAGGAAGUUCAUUUUUUUGCACCUUCAAUUGCCAUUUUAUAAUGUAUCCAAUGGAUGUUAAAUUUCAACUUAUUCUAUUGAUGUUGUAACCUCAGAAUAGUUCGUAACUAGAGAGUGAAAACCAAAAAUCUGUAGCCUUUGUUAUGAUGUCCACUUUCAAGGACAUAAUUCGUUUUGAAUUAUCAAGGAAUCAAAGUUUUUGUAAGUUUGGACUUUUAUCUUGACUGAGAACUUACUGCGAUCAACAUUUGUCAACAUGCUUACUUUUGUCAUGAUUUAUUGAAAACUAACUUGCUUCAACCUUUUUUUUCUUUUACGUCAUGCUCGUUCUUCAUUUGUUCCUUUCCUUUUCUUCUAGCUUCUUAAUUUUCUUUAUGGUAAUUUACUAUCUUUCAGUUUUCCAUCCUCGCUCACCAUCUAUAUACCAAUUAAAAAAACGAUAAUAAUUUUAAAAAAUAGGACUAGUGUUUAGUUUUUUUAAGUACUUCCAGACAAGGCUCGCCUUUAUGAUGGAACCAGACACAAUAAAAGCUGCAAACAGGGUGUAGAAGAGAUUGAAGCAUACAGAGCAUCAUUUGGAUUCAGUGCAGAUGAGAUCGUCAUGACACAAAACUAUGUGGAGCUAUCUGAACCACUUGAUGAGUCCUUUAUGAUGUCUCCAUUUGCAGAUAGUAAAACUGGAAUAGAGCAGUAUUCCAUUACGGAGAUUGAUGACAGGUAAAAAGGCAUCCAAUUUGUUGGAACCUAUGAGCCCAAAGCAAGUGAUGGCACAUCUUGCAGUCGGAGUUGAUUGCAAAUCUGACCAGAAUAACAUGCAUGCAGGUGUGAGACCACAAAUUCAGUCUGGAGAUACCUCUGCUUUAGCUGCCGGCAGCCCUAACACAGAUUGUGGUGUGGAAAGUGACUCGAGGACUUCAAACCACCAGCCCAGCUUGGCAAGCGAGCUCAACCGAGACAAUUGUUCUGACGCCGAGAUUGAUCAUAGAAGAGCAAGAAGUUUGAGAGAAACCAAUGCCCUAAUGGCCCGGGGGAAUUCGUUGCCUUAUAACUGACCUGCUCCUGUACUAGCUAGUUAGGACGGUAAUCAAAUUUCUUAGUUAGUAAUGAUAAGGCGUUUGGGCGUAUUAAGGAAUACGCCCUUUCCGAGGGGCUGGUUCAUGAUAGCGCCGGCCUACGGUGAUUGGUGAAUUCGAAUUCUGCUGAUUCCAUUCCCGUUGCCAAAUCUUAGCCUGUGAUUAAGACUACACAGUAGUCCUGUAGGAAUUCGUUGCCAAAUGUUGUCUAGAACUCUCCUCUUGUAAUUUCCUUACAGUUCGACAUCCAUACCAGACCGGUAGAUGUAUCGGUCCAGCACCAGUCUCGUACAUUACAUUGUACUAAACAAUGGUAAUGUGGAUUGUAUC